rnacentral:rRNA from 1 species
UACGUAGGUGGCAAGCGUUGUCCGGAAUUAUUGGGCGUAAAGCGCGCGCAGGCGGUUCCUUAAGUCAGAUGUGAAAGCCCACGGCUCAACCGUGGAGGGUCAUUGGAAACUGGGGAACUUGAGUACAGAAGAGGAGAGCGGAAUUCCACGUGUAGCGGUGAAAUGCGUAGAGAUGUGGAGGAACACCAGUGGCGAAGGCGGCUCUCUGGUCUGUAACUGACGCUGAGGCGCGAAAGCGUGGGGAGCGAACAGG